UUUAUGGUGUAAUUGGAAGCACGAUAGACUCUGAAUCUAUUAGAGUGAGUUCGAGUCUCGCUAA
rnacentral:ncRNA from 13 species